rnacentral:rRNA from 1 species
AUGCAAGUCGAACGCUGAAGCUCCAGCUUGCUGGGGUGGAUGAGUGGCGAACGGGUGAGUAACACGUGAGUAACCUUCCCUUGACUCUGGGAUAAGCCCGGGAAACUGGGUCUAAUACCGGAUAUGACCUCCUGUCGCAUGGUGGGGGGUGGAAAGAUUUAUCGGUCUUGGAUGGACUCGCGGCCUAUCAGCUUGUUGGUGAGGUAAUGGCUCACCAAGGCGACGACGGGUAGCCGGCCUGAGAGGGUGACCGGCCACACUGGGACUGAGACACGGCCCAGACUCCUACGGGAGGCAGCAGUGGGGAAUAUUGCACAAUGGGCGCAAGCCUGAUGCAGCGACGCCGCGUGAGGGAUGACGGCCUUCGGGUUGUAAACCUCUUUCAGUAGGGAAGAAGCCUUCGGGUGACGGUACCUGCAGAAGAAGCGCCGGCUAACUACGUGCCAGCAGCCGCGGUAAUACGUAGGGCGCGAGCGUUAUCCGGAAUUAUUGGGCGUAAAGAGCUCGUAGGCGGUUUGUCGCGUCUGCCGUGAAAGUCCGGGGCUUAACCCCGGAUCUGCGGUGGGUACGGGCAGACUAGAGUGCAGUAGGGGAGACCGGAAUUCCUGGUGUAGCGGUGAAAUGCGCAGAUAUCAGGAGGAACACCGAUGGCGAAGGCAGGUCUCUGGGCUGUUACUGACGCUGAGGAGCGAAAGCAUGGGGAGCGAACAGGAUUAGAUACCCUGGUAGUCCAUGCCGUAAACGUUGGGCACUAGGUGUGGGGGACAUUCCACGUUUUCCGCGCCGCAGCUAACGCAUUAAGUGCCCCGCCUGGGGAGUACGGCCGCAAGGCUAAAACUCAAAGGAAUUGACGGGGGCCCGCACAAGCGGCGGAGCAUGCGGAUUAAUUCGAUGCAACGCGAAGAACCUUACCAAGGCUUGACAUGUUCUCGAUCGCCACAGAGAUGUGGUUUCCCCUUUGGGGCGGGUUCACAGGUGGUGCAUGGUUGUCGUCAGCUCGUGUCGUGAGAUGUUGGGUUAAGUCCCGCAACGAGCGCAACCCUCGUUCCAUGUUGCCAGCGGGUUAUGCCGGGGACUCAUGGGAGACUGCCGGGGUCAACUCGGAGGAAGGUGGGGACGACGUCAAAUCAUCAUGCCCCUUAUGUCUUGGGCUUCACGCAUGCUACAAUGGCCGGUACAAUGGGUUACGAUACUGUGAGGUGGAGCUAAUCCCAAAAAGCCGGUCUCAGUUCGGAUUGGGGUCUGCAACUCGACCCCAUGAAGUCGGAGUCGCUAGUAAUCGCAGAUCAGCAACGCUGCGGUGAAUACGUUCCCGGGCCUUGUACACACCGCCCGUCAAGUCACGAAAGUCGGUAACACCCGAAGCCGGUGGCCCAACCCUU